UUAAUGGCCUUUAUUCUCUCCAUGAAGUUAAAGGUAACAUCUUCCACUGAGAUGAGGACAGAAGGAGACUUAAGAAAGGGAUAAGAAUCUGGACUGUUUGCCCCAACAACUGGGGGAGAGAGUUGACACAGAUACAUUGUCAGGAAGAUUUGAGGACCCAGAUGAAUGUCUAAAGUUGGCAAGCCCAGAGCUCUGCUCCACAAAGUCACUCAGGCGUUUGGAAGCUCCACCAUGAUGGGACACUGCCAUUUCAAAAUAAAUAAAGUGGCUACAGGGUAUGCUGUGGCAAGAAAGGCAGAACGUGAAGAACUCGCACCCUCAUUUUCACUUCUACUCGCUUGGCAAGGGAGUCUAGGAAAUCCAGGAAGAGGAAAAGGAACGAGAAACAGUAAGAACUGACUUUACAUCCAGGAAGUUACCUCUCCUAGGAGGAAGCUCUGUGAGCUCAAAAGAUCACUGGACUUGGAGGCAAGAGAACUGUUUGAUUUUGGACAAGUCACUUGGCUUUCCUGGGCCUUAACCUACAAAAUGAGAAACUUUGAUGAGACCGUGGGAAGAGGAACAUUGGGACCUUAGAAUCUUGUCCUGUCACACAGGCUCAAGGCUUUAGACGUUUUCACAGAUCACAGAGUGACACCAGAGAGGUCACUAAGAAGAUGAAGCUUUUACCGGCCCCUGUGGAACCUGUGGGACUCUGGUGUCCCAAUAACCAAGGCUCAUCAGGAAGUGAGCAGCAUAGCACGUGCUUCCCUGGAUUUCUUUAAGGUCCUAGGAUCCACAGAAGGAGUGAUUCUACCAGGAAACAGAGUUACGUGAAAUAAAAUGGAAACAGAAUGUUACCAGAUCAUUUUGGGUUCCUCAUGCCACCAAGCCAACAGUCUGGGAAGCAAGUCUAUGUACUGGCCAAGAUUAUUGACCCCAACGAGGAAGAAAUUGGGUUACUGCCACACAACAGAGGAGUACAUGUGAAACCCAGGGAGUCACUGGGUCACCUCUGAGCAUCUUCUUGUCCAAUAUUUGUGGUCAAUGGGAAACUGCAGUGAUCUAACAAAAACAAUACCACUGAGGACUCAGAUCCUGCAGAAAUGAAGGACUGGGUCACCAGCUGGGUUAAAAACACCAUCCAGCUGAGGCUGCAACAGAGGUAAGGGGAACACGGAAUGGGUGGUAGAAGAAGGCUGCUAUGAUUAGGAAGGAAGAAGGCUGUGUGACCAGCUACAGAGUCAGGGGCUUUAGCAGCUAUAUUUUAUAUCACUAAACUGUUUCUCUAACUCGCUUAACACCUCUUCUUCUUGUUAUCUUAUGUGAAAGAGCAUCAGCGGCAUAUAAUAUUUUAGGUGGGAGUACGACAUACUGGCAUCAUCUCUAAUAAGAUAGCUGAUGGUAUUUCCUGCAUCUCCUUUGUUGGGUUUCAACCAGAGAAAGGAAAAAGAGUGGAUACUGAGGGGCAAAAGGGACUAGCUGUGCUAGAUAUCUUCUGAUGCACCUCAUAUCUGCUCUCCACCUUUCUCCACCCCAUGUCUUGCAAGCCUGACAUGUAUGGACUAUAUCAAAGGGCUCUCUUUUACUCUGGAUUCCAGUUGAAUUUGGCUAAUGGAGAGCCACAGCAGGAGUCAGGAAAGAACAUGGAGAGUAAGGUUAGGGUGUCUAUUCUCCUUGCUCCCUCCUGUGUCCCACAAUCAAAGGUUAGUGCUACUCUUUCCAGCAACUGCUCCCUCAUCUCCUUCCUUCAGAUUUAGGAGUGGUAACGGGCUCUGUUGUUGUUAGCCCAGGACACCAAAUUGUAAAUUAUCCAUUAUUAAAUCCUCCUUGAAUUAUCUUAAUUUGAAUGUGCCAUCUGUUUUCAGGUAGGACCCUGACUAAUACAAGUAGCAUAACACAAUCAAAGACAUUUUUUUGUGUGUGUGUGAGGAAGAUCAGCCCUGAGCUAACAUCCAUACCAA